AGCUUUGUGCAGUGGCAGUAUCGUAGCCAAUGAGGUUUAUCUGAGGUGCGAUUAUUGCUAAUAGAAAUGAAGAACUUAUUUUUCCAUUUAACCCGGUUGUAGGGAGUGCUGCUACCUAGAGUCUGAAGCUCUCAAUUCUCUCUGAGAAAUAUUCUUGUCAAGGUCACAGCCU
rnacentral:snRNA from 1 species